AUUGAACGCUGGCGGCAGGCCUAACACAUGCAAGUCGAGCGGAUGAAGGGUGCUUGCUCCUGGAUUCAGCGGCGGACGGGUGAGUAAUGCCUAGGAAUCUGCCUGGUAGUGGGGGAUAACGUCCGGAAACGGGCGCUAAUACCGCAUACGUCCUGAGGGAGAAAGUGGGGGAGCUUCGGACCUCACGCUAUCAGAUGAGCCUAGGUCGGAUUAGUUAGUUGGUGGGGUAAAGGCCUUCCAAGGCGACGAUCCGUAACUGGUCUGAGAGGAUGAUCAGUCACACUGGAACUGAGACACGGUCCAGACUCCUACGGGAGGCAGCAGUGGGGAAUAUUGGACAAUGGGCGAAAGCCUGAUCCAGCCAUGCCGCGUGUGUGAAGAAGGUCUUCGGAUUGUAAAGCACUUUAAGUUGGGAGGAAGGGCAGUAAGUUAAUACCUUGCUGUUUUGACGUUACCAACAGAAUAAGCACCGGCUAACUUCGUG
rnacentral:rRNA from 1 species